UUUAUAUAAAAAAAUGUAUUUUGUUAUUAUUGGGUCUAAGCCCUUGUCAUUUUACUUGUUAUUAUCUUGCUAGAAUUCAGGACAGGUACAAAAAGUUGGCAAGAAUUGGGCCUUUGGCCUAAAACGAAAAUAGGCCCAAGUACUGGCCUAGGCGGACAAAUCCAGACUUGGGACCAAAUCUUCUUGCCUUAUCUCGUUUACUUGCUAUUAGAUGUUUUACGUGUUUAUUUAAUUUUAAGGUUUCCUAAUCCAUUCCCCAAAAGAUAGUCACUUCGGGAUUUUCUAAAGACUAAAUAAUCAUGCUUAUUUUUCUACUCAAACUACUUCAAAUUUUACUUAAUAAUAUUUUAAAUAUUUCCCACCCCCC
rnacentral:lncRNA from 1 species